GUGCCAGCAGUCGCGGUAAUACGGAGGGUGCGAGCGUUAAUCGGAAUUACUGGGCGUAAAGGGCGCGUAGGCGGUCGCGCAAGUCGGGUGUGAAAGCCCCGGGCUCAACCUGGGAAUUGCAUUCGAUACUGCGUAACUAGAGUCUGGUAGAGGGAAGCGGAAUUCCGCAUGUAGCGGUGAAAUGCGUAGAUAUGCGGAGGAACACCAGUGGCGAAGGCGGCUUCCUGGACCAAGACUGACGCUGAGGCGCGAAAGCGUGGGGGAGCAAACAGGAUUAGAUACCCUGGUAGUCCACGCCCUAAACGAUGAGGACUAGACGUUGGGGGGAUAAAACCCUUUAGUGUCGCAGCUAACGCGUGAAGUCCUCCGCCUGGGGAGUACGGCCGCAAGGUUGAAACUCAAAUGAAUUGGCGG
rnacentral:rRNA from 1 species